rnacentral:rRNA from 1 species
ACACGACUACAUUAGAUACCCCUGUAGUCCUAGCCGUAAACGAUACUCGCUAGGUGUCGGCCACGGUGCGACCGUUGUCGGUGCCGUAGGGAAGCCGUGAAGCGAGCCACCUGGGAAGUACGGCCGCAAGGCUGAAACUUAAAGGAAUUGGCGGGGGAGCACCACAACGGGUGGAGCUUGCGGUUUAAUUGGAUUCAACGCCGGAAAUCUUACCGGGACCGACAGCAACAUGGAGGCCAGGCUGAAGACUUUGCCGGAUUAGCUG